GAUGUUCUGCUGACUUGAUCAGCAGAAGCGCACCUGGGGAAGUGAAACAUCUCAGUACCCAGAGGAAAAGAAAACAAUUCUGUGAAUGCAGAAAAAUUCUCUAAGUAGCGGCGAGCGAAAAGGGAGGAGCCCAAACCGCGCGAAUAUGUAGCAAUACAUAUAUGCACGGGGUUGUAAGGCAGCAAUGUAGAUUACUAGAAGAGUCAAAAAACAUUUUGAUAGAUGAAGUUGUUGGAAACCAACGCCAUAGGAGGUGAUAGCCCUGUAAUUGAAAUCAUUAUGUCUCUUUUAUUGCUGUUCUUGAGUACUUCGAGACACGAAUAGCUCGGAGGAAUCCGGCAGAACUAACUGCCAAGGCUAAAUAUUCUUUUAGAUCGAUAGUGAACUAGUACCGUGAGGGAAAGGUGAAAAGAACCCCGGCGAGGGGAGUGAAAUAGACCUGAAACCGUAUGCUUACAAGGAGUCGGAGCGGACGUAUUUAUACGAUCCGUCACGGCGUGCCUAUUGAAGAAUGAGCCAACGAGUUUAUGCAUGCUGCAAGGCUAAUCCGUCAAGCGGUGAAGUCGCAGGGAAACCGAGUGUUAAUAGCGCGAAUAAGUAGUAUGCAUAAGACCCGAAGCAAGGUGAGCUACCCAUGAGCAGGAUGAAGUUGCGAGAAAUCGUGAUGGAGGUCCGAACCGGUGAGCCGUUCAACACUCUCGGAUGACUUGUGGGUCGGAGUGAAAAGCUAAUCGAACCUUGUAAUAGCUGGUUGUCUUCGAAAUAGCUUUAGGGUUAGCGUCAUGUGUUCCCUCUGGGGGUAGAGCACUGGAAGAAUUCGACAGGGAGAAAUCUCGCGAAUUCUAUCAAACUCCGAAUACCAGAGAUAAAUAACAUGGCAGUUAGACAGUGGGGGCUAAGCUCCACGCGUCAAAAGGGAAACAGCCCAGAUCUCUAAAUAAGGUCCCUAAAUCUACGUUAAGUGCAUAUCAAGGAGGUGAGAUUUCUCCGACAAUGAGGAUGUUGGCUUAGAAGCAGCCAUCAUUUAAAGAAAGCGUAACAGCUCACUCAUCGAGAGAUCUCGCACCGCAGAUAAUCGGGGCUAAACGUAGUACCGAAUUUGAGGGCUCUGGCGGCGUUCGCGCCGCCAGAGCGGUAGAAGACUAUUCCACUCUUGCUGUGAAGGAGAAGGCGUGAGCCACUCUGGAGCGUGUGGAAGUAAAAAUGUUGGCACAAGUAACCGCAAGGAAGGUGAGAUCCCUUCCCGCCGAAAGACUAAGGUUUCCAGAGCUAUGAUUGUCAACUCUGGGUUAGUCGGGCCUAAGGAGAUGGCGAAAGCCGUAUCUGAUGGACACAUGGUUAAUAUUCCAUGACUUCGUAUCUGUGCGAUGGGAGGACGGAGGGUAGUAUGUACAGCUCAUUAUUGGAUUUGAGUUUGUGACGUAAGUGGGGUGCGCAGGAAAAUCCGCGUACUGCCUUAGAUGGCAACUUGCAAGCGUAGCAGAAAUGUGAGGGUUCGCCCUUGCAGAUUGUACAAAGCACGCUCCCGAGAAAAAUCUCUAAGCUUCAACAGAUAUGAAUCCGUACCGUAAACCGACACAGGUAGUCAGGUCGAGAAGACCAAGGCGAACGAGUGAUUGAUCCCCAAGGAACUCGGCAAAAUAGCAGCCGUAACUUUGGAAUAAGGCUUGGCUAUAGCAAUAUAGCCCGCAGCGAAAGACUCUCUGGCAACUGUUUACCAAAAACACAGCUCCCUGCGAACUCGUAAGAGGAUGUAUAGGGGGUGACACCUGACCAAUGCGAGAAGGUCAACUAUCGGUGGUCAUAUUCCGCUUUUCAUUUGAGAAAUCGAAUGCGAAGCGGAGUAUGGCUGGCUGAUAUAAGCCCUCGUGAAUGUCGGCCGUAACUAUAACGGUCCUAAGGUAGCGAAGUACCUUGUCGGGUAAGUUCCGACGCGCACGAAUGGUGUAAUGACUGGGAAACUGUCUCGAGGAUCAGCUCGGUGA
rnacentral:rRNA from 1 species